rnacentral:rRNA from 1 species
AUUGAACGCUGGCGGCAGGCUUAACACAUGCAAGUCGAGCGGGGGAAGGUAGCUUGCUACUGGACCUAGCGGCGGACGGGUGAGUAAUGCUUAGGAAUCUGCCUAUUAGUGGGGGACAACAUCUCGAAAGGGAUGCUAAUACCGCAUACGUCCUACGGGAGAAAGCAGGGGAUCUUCGGACCUUGCGCUAAUAGAUGAGCCUAAGUCGGAUUAGCUAGUUGGUGGGGUAAAGGCCUACCAAGGCGACGAUCUGUAGCGGGUCGGAGAGGAUGAUCCGCCACACGGGGAAUGAGACACGGACCAGACUCCUACGGGAGGCGGCAGUGGGGAAUAUUGGACAAUGGGGGGAACCCUGAGCCAGCCAUGCCGCGUGUGUGAAGAAGGCCUUAUGGUUGUAAAGCACUUUAAGCGAGGAGGAGGCUACUUUAGUUAAUACCUAGGGAUAGUGGACGUUACUCGCAGAAUAAGCACCGGCUAACUCUGUGCCAGCCGCCGCCGUAA